rnacentral:rRNA from 1 species
UGGAUGAGUGGCGAACGGGUGAGUAACACGUGAGUAACCUGCCCUCUUCUUUGGGAUAACGCCCGGAAACGGGUGCUAAUACUGGAUAUUCACUGGCCUUCGCAUGGGGGUUGGUGGAAAGGUUUUUUCUGGUGGGGGAUGGGCUCGCGGCCUAUCAGCUUGUUGGUGGGGUGAUGGCCUACCAAGGCUUUGACGGGUAGCCGGCCUGAGAGGGUGACCGGUCACAUUGGGACUGAGAUACGGCCCAG